GAUGAAGAACGUAGCGAAAUGCGAUAAGUAAUGCGAAUUGCAGAAUUUCCGUGAGUCAUCGAAUCUUUGAACGCACAUUGCGCCCACUGGCAUUCCGGUGGGCAUGCCUGUUCGAGCGUCAUUAUCCUCCCUCAAACCUCGGGUUUGGUGUUGGACCCAAGUUGUGUGAACAACUGGUCUCAAAGACAAUGACGGCGUCCGUGGGACCCUCGGUGCAACGAGCUUUUAAACGAGCACGCGUCGAGUUUCAAGGACCUUCCGGGCCGGUCUCCUUCUUUUAUUUACAAAGGUUGACCUCGGAUCAGGUAGGAAUACCCGCUGAACUUAAGCAUAUCAAUAAGCGGAGGA
rnacentral:misc_RNA from 1 species